UGAGGAAUAUUGGACAAUGGGCGAAAGCCUGAUCCAGCAACGCCGCGUGGAGGAUGAAGGUCUUCGGAUUGUAAACUCCUGUCAGGUGGGACGAAAAAACUGACGGUACCACCAGAGGAAGCCCCGGCUAACUCCGUGCCAGCAGCCGCGGUAAUACGGAGGGGGCGAGCGUUAUUCGGAAUUAUUGGGCGUAAAGGGCGCGUAGGCGGCCUGACAAGUCAGGGGUGAAAUCCCUCGGCUCAACCGAGGAACUGCCUCUGAAACUGUCAGGCUCGAGGCCGGGAGAGGGUAGUGGAAUUCCCAGUGUAGCGGUGAAAUGCGUAGAUAUUGGGAGGAACACCGGUGGCGAAGGCGGCUACCUGGACCGGUUCUGACGCUGAGGCGCGAAAGUGUGGGUAGCAAACAGG
rnacentral:rRNA from 1 species